CCUAUAAUGCAGUCGAGCGACAGAUAAGGAGCUUGCUCCUUUGACGUUAGCGGCGGACGGGUGAGUAACACGUGGAUAACCUACCUAUAAGACUGGGAUAACUUCGGGAAACCGGAGCUAAUACCGGAUAACAUAUUGAACCGCAUGGUUCAAUAGUGAAAGGCGGCUUUGCUGUCACUUAUAGAUGGAUCCGCGCCGUAUUAGCUAGUUGGUAAGGUAACGGCUUACCAAGGCAACGAUACGUAGCCGACCUGAGAGGGUGAUCGGCCACACUGGAACUGAGACACGGUCCAGACUCCUACGGGAGGCAGCAGUAGGGAAUCUUCCGCAAUGGGCGAAAGCCUGACGGAGCAACGCCGCGUGAGUGAUGAAGGUCUUCGGAUCGUAAAACUCUGUUAUCAGGGAAGAACAAAUGUGUAAGUAACUGUGCACAUCUUGACGGUACCUGAUCAGAAAGCCACGGCUAACUACGUGCCAGCAGCCGCGGUAAUACGUAGGUGGCAAGCGUUAUCCGGAAUUAUUGGGCGUAAAGCGCGCGUAGGCGGUUUUUUAAGUCUGAUGUGAAAGCCCACGGCUCAACCGUGGAGGGUCAUUGGAAACUGGAAAACUUGAGUGCAGAAGAGGAAAGUGGAAUUCCAUGUGUAGCGGUGAAAUGCGCAGAGAUAUGGAGGAACACCAGUGGCGAAGGCGACUUUCUGGUCUGUAACUGACGCUGAUGUGCGAAAGCGUGGGGAUCAAACAGGAUUAGAUACCCUGGUAGUCCACGCCGUAAACGAUGAGUGCUAAGUGUUAGGGGGUUUCCGCCCCUUAGUGCUGCAGCUAACGCAUUAAGCACUCCGCCUGGGGAGUACGACCGCAAGGUUGAAACUCAAAGGAAUUGACGGGGACCCGCACAAGCGGUGGAGCAUGUGGUUUAAUUCGAAGCAACGCGAAGAACCUUACCAAAUCUUGACAUCCUUUGACUGCUCUAGAGAUAGAGUCUUCCCCUUCGGGGGACAAAGUGACAGGUGGUGCAUGGUUGUCGUCAGCUCGUGUCGUGAGAUGUUGGGUUAAGUCCCGCAACGAGCGCAACCNUUAAGCUUAGUUGCCAUCAUUAAGUUGGGCACUCUAAGUUGACUGCCGGUGACAAACCGAAGGAAGG
rnacentral:rRNA from 1 species